GUUGAUCCUGCGGGAGGUCGCUGCUAUCAGGGUUCGAUUAAGCCAUGCAAGUCAGGUAGCAAUACCGGCAAAAUGCUCAGUAACACGUCGAUAAUCUGCCAUUAGGUUCAGGAUAGCCUUGGGAAACUGAGGGUAAAACUGGAUAUGAGAAGGUAUCUGGAACGAUCUUUCUUUGAAAAGCAAUGCCUAAUGAUGAGUCGGCGGCUGAUUAGGUUGUUGGCGGGGUAAUGGCCCACCAAGCCGACGAUCAGUAGGGGCCUUGAGAGAGGUAGCCCCGUGAAGGGCACUGAGAUACUGGCCCUAGCCUUACGAGGUGCAGCAGGCGCGAAACCUUUACAAUGCACGAAAGUGUGAUAAGGGAACCUUGAGUGCUUUACUUAAAGUAAAGCUUUUGUUAAGGGUAAAUACCUUAGCGAAUAAGUGGUGGGCAAGACUGGUGCCAGCCGCCGCGGUAACACCAGCGUCCACGAGUGGCGACCAUGAUUAUUGGGCCUAAAGCGUUCGUAGCCUGUUUGAUAAAUCUUUUGUGAAAUUGUUGGGCUUAACCUAACAGAUUGCAGGAGAGACUGUCAAGCUUGAAACCGGGAGGAGUCAGAGGUAUUUCUUGGGGAGCGGUAAAAUGCUAUAAUCCUUGAAAGACCACCUGUGGCGAAGGCGUCUGACUAGAACGGAUUUGACGGUGAGGAACGAAAGCUAGGGGAGCAAACCUGAUUAGAUACCCGAGUAGUCCUAGCUGUAAACGCUGCGAGCAAGGUGUUGCAUAUUCUAUAGGAAUAUGCAGUGUCGAAAUGAAGAUGUUUAGCUCGCCGCCUGGGAAGUAUAGUCGCAAGACCGAAACUUUAAGGAAUUGGCGGGGGAGCACCACAAGGGGUGCGGCGUGCGGUUUAAUCCAAUUCAACGCGGAGAAUCUCACCAGGGGCGACGGCAGGAUGAAAGUCAGUCUAAAGGGCUUACUUGACGAGCCGAGAGGAGGUGCAUGGCCGUCGUCAGCUCGUGCUGUAAGGUGUCCUGUUAAGUCAGGCAACGAGCGAGACCUGCACUUAUAAUUGCUAACAACUUCUUUAGAAGGAUUGAGCACAUUAUGAGGACUGCCCUUGAAAAAGGGAGGAAGGUGCAGGCUACGGUAGGUCUGUAUGCCCCGAAUCCUCUGGGCUACACGCGCGCAACAAUGGUAGAGACAAUGGGAUGCAACUCUGAAAAGAGAAGCUAAACCUGAAAACUCUAUCUAAGUCCAGAUUGAGGGCUGUAACUCGCCCUCAUGACGAUGGAAUCCCUAGUAAUUGGACGUCAUCAUCGUCCAGUGAAUAUGUCCCUGCUCCUUGCACACACCGCCCGUCAAACCAACCGAGCAGGGUUUAGGUAAGAUUUAGUUUUUUAACUAAGGCGAAUCUAAGCUCAGUGAGGUGGGUUAAGUCGUCACAAGGUA
rnacentral:rRNA from 1 species